GAACUGCGAUAAGUAGUGUGAAUUGCAGAAUUCAGUGAAUCAUCAAACCCUUGAACGCAACUUGCGCUCGUGAGUGAAUCACGAGCACGCCUGUUUGAGCAUCGGUAUUCAAUCUCACCCUCCACCAUGGUGGGUGGAAAUGAAUGUCUUUCUCCAAGAAAGUCAUUUGAAAUGGAGUUGCGAACCUUGGCAAGACAGCCUCGGAAAACGCUCCUGUCUUAACCAGUGAUUGAUUCCUUUUGGAAAUUCUCUCUGGGAUUCAGGUUGCCUCUGAACUGUUCCUGUCAUAUGUUGUUUGCAUGAAGCAAUGUUAUAAUGAUUGCCCUUUAAACUUCGAUCUCAAAUCAGGCGAGACAACCCGCUGAAUUUAA
rnacentral:misc_RNA from 1 species